rnacentral:sRNA from 1 species
UUCCUUAUGCUCAUCUAAUGUUCCUUACUCUUAUGACUAGAAAUUUGUUAAAAAAAAAGUUUCUAAAUACAUACUAUGAUGUCAAAAUGAGUCAAUCCCACGCAUGAUUAAUUAAUUGGGGUUUACUUUAAUCCAGAUGUUUUUU